rfam:Bombyx mori DNA, contig: Bm_scaf13_contig10469, strain: p50T/Dazao, build 2, whole genome shotgun sequence.
UUAACUCAAAUUUGUAUGGAGUUGGAACGCUACCUACGUUUGCCGCUAGGGGCGCUGUUCCAACUGCAUACUGCAAAUUUGAGUUA